UCUUCAUACUGUUGCGUUGAAUCACGUCGCCAAUACAAUACACGAUCGAGGUGAAAUGCGACUAAAACUAAUAACGACUAAAAUAAUAAACGAUUGAGUCACAACGUGAUAUUUAAAUGCACGAUCGAGGUCAAAUGCGACUAAAACUUAUAGCCACUAGAAAAAAAAACUAUUGAGACACAAUGCGAAAAUUAAAUAUGAGAUCGAGGUGAAAUGCGAUUCGGUGAAUUACUACAACAAUUUUAUGCUUUUGGGGUACAGGUCUAACAAAUC